GCCCAGAUGGUGAAAUUGGUAGACACGCUACUUUGAGGGGGUAGUGGACGCAUUAGUCCGUGCAAGUUCGAGUCUUGUUCUGGGCA
rnacentral:tRNA from 1 species